rnacentral:lncRNA from 1 species
CUCUUCAUUCGCAGGAAGCAUUACUCAUUUCUUCAGAGUUAAAGAAAAGGCUACCGAUUUCCCACUGACUAUUAUGUAAGGGCUGGACCCUUGGAUGAGAAAUUCAUGGCUAAGUUAGUCCGUUUUCAAAAUAGUAUGAAGCUUUCAAUUCAAGCACCUUUUUUCUAUUCCUAUGGUACUAAGGUAGGCAAAGGUAGAUAAGUCUCUGGCCUAUGUAGCUAACUUAGUAGAUAGAUAGCAUGGAUCCCAUAGAGCUCUCAGUCUCUAGCCUAGUCUAUGGCUCAUAGUCUUCGCUUAUACUUAGAGUAGUUCACCCUCUUUAGAAGUCAAGUAGUUCCUUAGUGUUCGCUCUCAACAACUAGUACGCCCUGUUCUCAAAAGCCGAAGAGCAGCUAAACUAAACUUCACUUAAUAGGCUGGGGCUGGGGGUGGAUAAGGUUCUUUCUUGCUAUCAAUCUAUUACGGCCAGCUUUUAGAGUCUAAAAAGUAUAUGGCCACGGGAUUAAAACCUAAAGGUUCCAAACCUCGAAGUCUGUAGUUGACUCUUGAUGGAUAGAGGAUGACUCGCUUCUGCCUUCCCAACAGUCCCACCCCUUCCCAGAAUCUUGUUUCAAUCAAUCCGAUCAGGCUACGGCGCAUAUUACCAAUAAACACCGCUAUGCCUUCUUCCAAGACCGAUAUACCAAUCAAGGAGUGUUCAUUCCGUGAGUUUGUUCCAAAAGAAUCUCCGGAUUCGAUCUGUUCAGUUCGGGAAUGAAUUCUCUUUGUCAAGUUGCUUUCCCGUUCAUUGGGUUGUUUGGAACGGAUCAAAGAAUGAGAGAGAUUUCUAAUCUCGAUUUGAAGGGAGUGCAGUUCCAUUGUUCAAGAAAACGGGAUUGCAAACAGCACGGGAAAGAUUGGAUGGUCCGAAACAACAAUCAAUUGAUGAUAGGGAUCACCCAGAGGCUCAUUCCACUAUCGGCCGGUAUGGAGAAUGGAGAUUGAAAGGACUUUUAGAUGAAAGACAGAAAGCCUUACUGAUGAUUCGACGAACGAAAUAAGCUGGCGUACGACGGAGGAAGGCAACUAUUUCAAGUCAAAGCUUCUAGAAAGAAAGAAAGCAUUGGCCCAAACUUAGGACUCUUAUUCCCAAAAGUUCUGAAGGACAGGCUGGCUUGCAUGGCCUAAGCAUAACUUGGGUACUUGACAGAGCUAUAUGAAAGGUGUCUUGUGGUUGCAAAUUCGUAUAUAGAUAGAGCUCAAUUACAUCGACCCUCUCUCAUAUUACAUUGACCCUUGCCCUUUGUUGAUGGUUGUUCGUUCCAGGGGCUAGCGAUCAAGAAAUUAAGAGAUAGGGAGUCCCUACCCUAUAGUAACACCGGGAGACAGAGAACCACCAAAGAAAUAAGGUCAGGUCGGGGGCCUAACUUGAAACAUCAUCUUUGAAAUGCCUCAUUCUCUUUAUGGAUUACCUUAUUCACCUAUCACUCGAGCUUGAGUCUUCGCUUGAGCGGGUACUCGUCCCGCUUAGGAUAGAGGAUAGGAUACAUCCCCUUGGCGUCUGGGUUUCGUUGGUAGGAGGAAUCCCCAUAGCUGCUUCUGCAGUAGCCCUGUCUUCUCUGUCCGGCGAAUAUAGAGAGCUUCUUCCCUUAGCUAGAUACGGCUCUUUCGAGCAAUCAAUCUGCUUAUCGCUUCCAAAUAAGUCACUUCCAGCAAAGCAAAAAGGGGGUGGACUACACGAGUCUUAUGAAAGAGAGCCGAGGACUAUAUAAUAGCAAUUUCUGGUCGAUAAGUCAAUAGAUGUUCUCCUGGGGCAGACAGAAGAAGUUCCGAAGAUGUUCUCUGGGGCAGACAGAAGAAGUUCCGAUUCCUUCUAUCACCAUCACUUCCUGACUCGCCUGCUCAAACGAGAGUUUAAGCUCCUGCUCCUCCUCCCCGUCCCUUACUCGUCCUUUGAAAGCCAGAACAUUCACAUAGAAGAGUCUUUGUAUCACGCAUGCUCCUCGACUGAUGACAAAAUGACCUUAUAUCCUCUUCUAGGAAUUCCUACCCCUAACAAUUUGAGAUGGGAAAAGAGGAGUCCGAUCAAUGAGUCCUACGAAUAUAGGACACUUGUAUUUCUCAUUCACAAAUCCAUCUUUGUUUAUGCUACUAACUCUCAGUUUGGUCCUAUUGUUUAGAAAUGUGGAAAGGAAGGUCAGAGGGUGGGGAUUCUAGUGUUUUGGCGGAAACGCGACCGGAUGUAGUCAUGUUAGUUUUGUUUUUCUUGUGCAUGACGAGCCGGGUGAACAAAGUCACGAUCAGAAUGCAAGCAAGGUAGUUCGCUGGGUAUGUCUUUUGAUCCCAGGGGUGCUGGUUCGAGUCCAGCUCGUGACAAGACCUUUGUUUAAUAUCUCGGCGCCUCUUCUCCUUAGACGGAUGACUCUCCCAUGAUCUGAGAAAGCCUCUUUUUCCUAGUUAGGACAUUACAUUGGGAGGAGAGAUUCACCCUGACAAGAGAUCCCAUCUCUCUUAUGAUUUCUCGAGUUACAUGGAAAGAUCAAGGCUGCAUUUAGGAGUGAAAGCAGCCAAUUCUUUCUUCUCUUAUGAAAUUCACGAUCUCCCCUUGAGAACGCACAGAACAGUUACUAAAUAAUACCCUUUGGAUGUUACAUAUCUGAUACCUUUUGGUCCCUCACGGAACACUGGCUAUAUCAUCUAGCCCCAUGUCAACCAACCCAACUCCUCUUGCCGCUAUGCAUCCUAUUGGGACGCUUCAAAUUUUUGUUCUGCCAAGGUCUAAUCAUUCUGACGUAGUCUAAGUCUUCGAGGGGAAUGCCGACUGUCGAAGUUGAAGCUGAAACCGAUGAUGUUAACUAACGAUGCAGAUUCCGAAGUUGUGGCAAAAAAUCUUUCCCCUGUAGAAAGUCUCCGAACAAUCUCUGAUGAGCUGACCCUAUCUUAGACUGUCGACUUAACUGCGCCGAAUCUGGAGGUCUGCUUUGAUCCGAGUCUUCCAUGGCCUGAUCGUGCUCAUAUUGAUAUGGAGGAAUAAACCUGCCCCAAAGGCUAUGCUCUGCCAAAGCGGUGCCCCUUAAAUGUUCUCUCAUCAGAUAGAAUUAAAGUAGUGAGAGUCUAGGUAAGCCCAGGAAGCUAUGGGGGUCGGAGUGGUCUCUCUAGUCAUACUAAGUAGCUAUAUGAAUUAGGUUAAUUUCCUUCUCGAUUCAAUCUUUAAUUUCGUUUGAUUUUUGGUAGAAAGCCUAUGUCAUGGCAGUAAAAUCUCUCUUUUGGAAUAGAGCUUUAAGCCUUUAGCACAUAGCAAUAGCAGUAAAAUCAUCCUUUUGAUUUGAGCCCACUUCUAUACUGAUUGGAAUAGCCAAAAAUGCACCUUUCCCCGCUAUCACUUUCUAGAAUUCUUUCUGAUACAUGCUCCGAGAGGGUUAGCCCCGGCUAUCAAGAUGAGCUAAAUGGUCACACCAGUGUACUAUGCCAAAAGGAAAUUUUAAAGAUAUCGGGAUUGCUUCAUUGGCAGAAGCCAGAAGAGUUAAUUUAGCGAUUGCUUUUUGACAUGGUAAUUGGAAUCUUCCCUCUUACAAGGAGGCCUAGGAAACUAAGUUGUUUUCCAGGCUAAGGUAACAAAGUUAGACCGAGAUUCACGACGGAUUUCCUCUAUAAAAGAAGUAAUAGAAUAAGAUGCGAGAGAGCCAUGCCUUUAGAACAAGAAGGUUUUGAUUCUGGGGUCAGCUGAAAAAUGGAAGGGCGCGAUAGCGCACUACCGCUUUUCAGCCUCCGUUUGCUGGGAUCAGGAUUUUACACUAAACAAAAGAGAGUGCGAACAUUAUUAAAGUCUCAGACAAGCAAGUGUGGAACCCCAAUCACGAGGGGGAAAAUGACACCCAUUAAUGGAGGAAAUAGCCCUAUAUUAUAUUUAUUCUCUUACGAGAUUUGGAGGACAAAGAAUAGCAUGCUUCUCUUGCCUCUAGGAAGAAUAGAAGGAACCUAUUCUCUUACACAAUCAGCUGUGCACAAAGAAGUUCCUACUUAUAUUUAGAGUGACCCCGGCGAGAGACCCUCUUCAUCUAUUGCUCGGGAGAUACCACAGAACACUUAAGCGAGACCUUACCUCUUAUUGACUUGAACAAACUAACUCCCGUCUUUGGUGAUCUGUACCUCAAAACACACCUUAGACUAGCAAAUUGAAGUUUCAUUGAAUGAAUGAAAAUCAUAAUCUGAAUAAGAGUAUGAUACUAGACGACUAGAGAAGAGAGAGGCAGGAAAGCCAGAUCGGACUGCUUAGAGGAGAUAAGGGACUUAUCCUUCUAUUCUAAGAAACCAACCAAAAGGAAAUAGUUCACCUUGGCAGAGUGACCUGUGGAAAGAUCGAUCUCUGGAUCAUAUGAAAUGCAGUUCAGUGGAAUUCAUGUGAAAAUAGAAAUCUGAAAACAAAGAAAUCAGAGAAUGAAAUUGAAUUCAAUUAGCGAAGAUUGGUCUACUGGUUUACGAGAUUACUGUUUAGCAAACGAGCUGAGAACAAUCAGUCUCACCUACGAUCCUACGAUCUGCUCUAUAAGACACCUCAAUAAGGAAAAAAAAAGAAAGGAUGAGGCAACGUAGGCAGUUCCAUCCACAUCUAUUCAAUUCGUUAUUCCAUUCCGGCUGCUUUCAGUCGAAUCUUCGUUCUCGGUAGUUUCUUCCUAGCCCCCAGUUUGGCUCACUUCUCUUUCCUUCUUUUAUGCGGGCAUCAUGAGGCAGGAUUCGAGUCAACAAUUGACCCAGCAUCCUUGUCAUCACUUAAAGAGCCAAAGCCCGUGGACGGGGUGUAAGCCAUUGAUUUAUAACCAGUAGACCGGAAGGUGGGAGGCACUACCUUUUUAUGGUAAAUGGUAUGAAAUUGGCACCGGAAUUCCUUCUUAAGCUGCUGGUUAGGGUGCUCCCUAUAGAAAAGCACGCAGCGAGAAAGACAGUACCAUACGAGGUAGCAUAGAUCGGUAAGGCAAGAGGGGACGAGCGUGUCUCAGCACUUAGACAAGAUGGAGAAGAUUCUCAAAUAAUUUGUAGCAGUGAGAGUAAAAAUGACUGAUCGUGAUCAGUGACCGGAAAGUCUGCUGAAGUCGUUUGAGUCUUUGACAACCACUCUCUCCCUUUCAUCUCCUCUCUUGUGUCGAUUGUUCUGCUAGCUCCUCUUUGGACCGCCUUCAGAAAGGAAUCAGGUAAGUAAGCCUCCUACUAUUUAUCACCACUUCCAACUAACAAUACAGAAUUAAACCAGUUCCAUAACAAUUCCAGACUGCAAGAAAGCAAGAUACGAAAAUGAUAAAAUAACGAUCGGUUUGGGAGCGCCUGGGGGGAGGAAAGAGGGAAGGUGACCCAUGACGCCAGGGAUUUGUGCAUAUAUAUCCCACCCCAGCUUUGCGAAUGAGAGGGUCUGAUUCUGUGACUCUAGAAGAUAGAUCUAUCUCCUGCUUUGUAUCGGCUCGACUCCUCAACUCGGUCUCGAGCUCUCUAAUACGAUCCUGAAGUAUGGAUUUAAGAAACCUCGCCAUGAUGACUCAGCAAUCUACAAGCCCAUGGGUACUCUAUAAACAAGGAUGCCUACAAGCAUCUAUAAGCCAUCCAUACAAGAAGAGAAUACUUAAAGAAGUGUUGCGCCCCCGGAUAAUAGUAUCCAGGUCUCUCCUCAGCUCGGCAAUCCGUGAAGCAGCCUGACCUCCUCUGACCACGAGUGGCGUACUCUGAUAUGAACCCGUCCUUGAGGUAAUUGUAGAAAUCAUAAUACCAUGGUUCCCAUCAUCCUUGUAAUCUUCCUCGUCUUGACUGGUGAUAGUUCAUCAUGUUCCAACUCUCGAUAGUCUUCAUCCAAGAAGAUGAAUGAGUCCCGUUAGAUGGAAGGGCUCUCUGUGGCUGGGAUGUCCAAUCUCUCGAUGACAAGCAACUCUGUGCUUCGGUGUACUAGCAUGGGUACUAGAGUGGCUGAGUAUUUAUUCCAUAAGGGCUAGCGAAUCAGCCAAGCGAUUGUAGAUUCUCGAAA